UCCCCGCCUGGGGAGUACGGCCGCAAGGCUAAAACUCAAAGGAAUUGACGGGGGCCCGCACAAGCGGCGGAGCAUGCGGAUUAAUUCGAUGCAACGCGAAGAACCUUACCAAGGCUUGACAUAUGCGAGAACGCGGCAGAGAUGUCGUUCUCUUUGGACACUCGCAUACAGGUGGUGCAUGGUUGUCGUCAGCUCGUGUCGUGAGAUGUUGGGUUAAGUCCCGCAACGAGCGCAACCCUCGUUCUAUGUUGCCAGCACGUGAUGGUGGGGACUCAUAGGAGACUGCCGGGGUCAACUCGGAGGAAGGUGGGGAUGACGUCAAAUCAUCAUGCCCCUUAUGUCUUGGGCUUCACGCAUGCUACAAUGGCCGGUACAAAGGGCUGCGAUACCGCGAGGUGGAGCGAAUCCCAAAAAACCGGUCUCAGUUCGGAUUGGGGUCUGCAACUCGACCCCAUGAAGUCGGAGUCGCUAGUAAUCGCAGAUCAGCAACGCUGCGGUGAAUACGUUCCCGGGCCUUGUACACACCGCCCGUCAAGUCACGAAAGUCGGUAACACCCGAAGCCGGUGGCCCAACUCUUUGAGAGGGAGCCGUCGAAGGUGGGACUGGCGAUUGGGACUAAGUCGUAACAAGGUAGCC
rnacentral:rRNA from 1 species